rnacentral:lncRNA from 1 species
UAAAGGAGUCAAGCUUGAAAGAGACAUUUGUCGCAAACUAAAAUGUUUCUAUACCAAUGCGCAAAGCAUGGGAAACAAACAAGGAGAACUGGAAAUCCUAGCACAGGAAAAUAAAUAUGAUAUCAUAGGCAUAACUGAAACUUGGUGGGAUAAUACGCAUGAUUGGAACACAGAGCUCGAAGGAUACAACUUAUUUAAAAAAAACAGGCUUAAUAAAAGGGGAGGAGGUGUUGCAUUGUAUGUAAGGAAAAUAUAUACCACCACAGAGAUUAAUCUUUCAGAUAAUGGAAGCCCUGUAGAAACCGUUUGGGUGAAAAUACAAGGAGAGAGCAACACAAAGGAUACUGUUGUAGGAGUUUAUUAUAGACCCCCUGGACAAACAGAAUAUAUGGAUGAACUAUUUAUAUAUCAGAUGGCCAAGCUCUCGGGGAAACACGACCUAGUCAUUAUGGGAGAUUUUAACUAUCCAGACAUUUGUUGGGAAUCUCUCUCUGGCAAAAGUCAUGGGUCCAAUAAAUUCUUAUCCUCUCUGGCAGAUAACUUCAUUUUCCAAAGGAUGGAGGAAAAAACAAGGGGGUCUGCUAUCUUGGACCUAAUCCUUACCAACAGGGAGGAAAUGGUUGAGGAAGUAAGGGUGACUGGGACCCUGGGUGGCAGUGACCAUGCUAUCAUUGAGUUUUGGAUAACAAAAGGAGGAAGAUCUGACAGGACUCGGACUUCAAGGUUAGAUUUCAGAGGAGCAGAUUUUGAUGGACUCAGAAGGAGGGUAGGAAGGAUCCAUUGGCUGGAUGUCUUAAAGGACAGAAAUGUCCAGGAAGGAUGGGAAAUUUUGAGAAAGGAGAUUCUAGAGGCACAAUCUUUAACAAUUCCUAAAAGAAAAAAAAAUGGCAAGCAUCUAAAGAGACCAGGGUGGAUGAACCCUGAACUUAAUAACUUGCUAAAAAGAAAAAAAGAAAUGUUUAAAAAAUGGAAAGAGGGGGACAUAUCAAAAGAAGAAUAUAAUGCAAUCUGCAGGAACUGCAGGAUAAGUGNCAGAAAGGCUAAAGCUAAAAAUGAAUUGAGGAUUGCAAGAGAGGCCAAAAACAAUAAAAAAGGCUUUUGGGGGUAUGUCAGAAGCAAAAGAAAAGUCAAAGAAGCUAUAGGACCUUUACAAAAUGGGAAGGGUGAUUUGGU